rnacentral:rRNA from 1 species
AUUGAACGCUGGCGGCAUGCCUUACACAUGCAAGUCGAACGGUAACGCGGGGCAACCUGGCGACGAGUGGCGAACGGGUGAGUAAUGUAUCGGAACGUGCCCAGUUGUGGGGGAUAACUGCUCGAAAGAGCAGCUAAUACCGCAUACGACCUGAGGGUGAAAGCGGGGGAUCGCAAGACCUCGCGCAGUUGGAGCGGCCGAUAUCAGAUUAGGUAGUUGGUGGGGUAAAGGCUCACCAAGCCAACGAUCUGUAGCUGGUCUGAGAGGACGACCAGCCACACUGGGACUGAGACACGGCCCAGACUCCUACGGGAGGCAGCAGUGGGGAAUUUUGGACAAUGGGCGCAAGCCUGAUCCAGCCAUGCCGCGUGCGGGAAGAAGGCCUUCGGGUUGUAGACCGCUUUUGUCAGGGAAGAAAAGACUCCUGUUAAUACCGGGGGUUCAUGACGGUACCUGAAGAAUAAGCACCGGCUAACUACGUGCCAGCCGCCGCAGUAA